AAAUUGAAGAGUUUGAUCAUGGCUCAGAUUGAACGCUGGCGGCAGGCCUAACACAUGCAAGUCGAACGGUAGCACAGAGAGCUUGCUCUCGGGUGACGAGUGGCGGACGGGUGAGUAAUGUCUGGGAAACUGCCCGAUGGAGGGGGAUAACUACUGGAAACGGUAGCUAAUACCGCAUAACGUCGCAAGACCAAAGUGGGGGACCUUCGGGCCUCACACCAUCGGAUGUGCCCAGAUGGGAUUAGCUAGUAGGUGGGGUAACGGCUCACCUAGGCGACGAUCCCUAGCUGGUCUGAGAGGAUGACCAGCCACACUGGAACUGAGACACGGUCCAGACUCCUACGGGAGGCAGCAGUGGGGAAUAUUGCACAAUGGGCGCAAGCCUGAUGCAGCCAUGCCGCGUGUAUGAAGAAGGCCUUCGGGUUGUAAAGUACUUUCAGCGAGGAGGAAGGCGUUGUGGUUAAUAACCACAGCGAUUGACGUUACUCGCAGAAGAAGCACCGGCUAACUCCGUGCCAGCAGCCG
rnacentral:rRNA from 1 species